GACGAACGCUGGCGGCGUGCUUAACACAUGCAAGUCGAACGGUAAGGCCCUUCGGGGUACACGAGUGGCGAACGGGUGAGUAACACGUGGGUGAUCUGCCCUGCACUUCGGGAUAAGCCUGGGAAACUGGGUCUAAUACCGGAUAGGACCACUGCCUGCAUGGGUGGUGGUGGAAAGCUUUUGCGGUGUGGGAUGGGCCCGCGGCCUAUCAGCUUGUUGGUGGGGGGAUGGCCGACCCAGGCGAUGACGGGUAGCCGGCCUGAGAGGGUGACCGGCCACACUGGGACUGAGAUACGGCCCAGACUCCUACGGGAGGCAGCAGUGGGGAAUAUUGCACAAUGGGCGCAAGCCUGGUGCAGCGACGCCGCGUGAGGGAUGACGGCCUUCGGGUUGUAAACCUCUUUCAGCACCGACGAAGCGCAAGUGACGGUAGGUGCAGAAGAAGGACCGGCCAACUACGUGCCAGCCGCCGCCGUAA
rnacentral:rRNA from 1 species